rnacentral:misc_RNA from 1 species
UGGUUCUGGCAUCGAUGAAGAACGCAGCGAAAUGCGAUAAGUAAUGUGAAUUGCAGAAUUCAGUGAAUCAUCGAAUCUUUGAACGCAUAUUGCGCCCCUCGGUAUUCCGGGGGGCAUACCUGUUCGAGCAUCAUUACACCAAUCCAGUUAUGCUGGGUCUUGGGCCUCGCUGCAGUAGCGGGUCUUGAAAUCAAUUGCGAUAGCCUGAAGUCCCUACGCGUUGUAAAUUUUCUCGCGACAGGUCCUUCAGAACUGCGCUUAUAAAUCUUAUAUUGAUCUCGGAUCAGGUAGGGAUACCCGCUGA